rnacentral:piRNA from 1 species
AGGCUCAGUCGUACAUAUCUGUAG